rnacentral:rRNA from 1 species
UACGUAGGGGGCAAGCGUUGUCCGGAUUUAUUGGGCGUAAAGAGCGUGUAGGCGGCCAGGUAGGUCAGCUGUGAAAACUCGAGGCUCAACCUCGAGACGCCGGUUGAAACCAUCUGGCUAGAGUCCGGAAGAGGAGAGUGGAAUUCCUGGUGUAGCGGUGAAAUGCGCAGAUAUCAGGAGGAACACCAAUGGCGAAGGCAGCUCGCUGGGACGUUACUGACGCUGAGACGCGAAAGCGUGGGGAGCAAACAGG